rnacentral:rRNA from 1 species
GCUUCACGGCGUCAGGGAGUAGGGAUGCUUUUAUUAGAUCAAAACCAGUACGCGAGUCGCAAGGCGAGCGUAAACUUUUUGGUGACUCUGGAUAACUUCACGCGGAUCGCACGGCCUUCGAGCCGGCGACGUGUCUUUCAAAUGUCUGCCUUAUCAACUUUCGAUGGUAGGUUACGCGCCUACCAUGGUUGCAACGGGUAACGGGGAAUCGGGGUUCGAUUCCGGAGAGGGAGCCUGAGAAACGGCUACCACAUCCAAGGAAGGCAGCAGGCGCGCAAAUUACCCACUCCCGGCACGGGGAGGUAGUGACGAAAAAUAACGAUACGGGACUCUUCCGAGGCCCCGUGAUUGGAAUGAGUACACUUUAAAUCCUUUAACGAGGACCCAUUGGAGGGCAAGUCUGGUGCCAGCAGCCGCGGUAACUCCAGCUCCAAUAGCGUAUAUUAAAGUUGUUGCGGUUAAAAAGCUCGUAGUCGGAACUAUGUCUUCGGCCGGGUUGGUCGGGGUCUGUCCUUAACUGGGCGCCUCGGCCUGAAGCCUUGCGGUGUGUCGGGUAACACCGGCAUACUGCUUAGCGGUCGGACAUAACCGCCGGAGUGUCGCGGGCUUUAGGCGCGGUCUUAACCGGUCGCGUCUCGAGUCUCGGCACAAUCAAAUCAGCCGGGGUGCUCUUAACCGAGUGUCCCGGUCGGCCGGCAAACGUUUACUUUGAACAAAUUAGAGUGCUCAAAGCAGGCUGAUCUUAGCCCUGAAUAUCGCAGCAUGGAAUGAUGGAAUAGGACCUCGGUCUUAUUUUGCUGGUCUUUUUCUCAUAGACCCGAGGUAAUGGUCAAUAGAGACGGACGGGGGCAUCCGUACUGCGGCGACAGAGGUGAAAUUCUCGGACCGCCGCAAGACGAACGACAGCGAAGGCAUUUGCCAAGAAUGUUUUCCUUGAUCAAGAACGAAAGUUAGAGGUUCGAAGGCGAUCAGAUACCGCCCUAGUUCUAACCAUAAACGAUGCCGACCAGCGAUCCGCCGGUGUUACUCCCAUGACUCGGCGGGCGGCUUCCGGGAAACCAAAGUCUUUGGGUUCCGGGGGAAGUAUGGUUGCAAAGCUGAAACUUAAAGGAAUUGACGGAAGGGCACCACCAGGAGUGGAGCCUGCGGCUUAAUUUGACCCAACACGGGAAACCUCACCAGGCCCGGACACUGGAAUGAUUGACAGAUUGAGAGCUC